GAUGAACGCUGGCGGCGUGCCUAAUACAUGCAAGUCGAGCGAACGGACGAGAAGCUUGCUUCUUUGAUGUUAGCGGCGGACGGGUGAGUAACACGUGGAUCACCUACCUCUAAGACUGGGAUAACUUCGGGAAACCGUAGCUAAUACCGGAUAAUAUUUUGAACCGCAUGGUUCAAGAGUGAAAGACGGUCUUGCUGUCACUUAUAGACGGAUCCGCGCUGCAUUAGCUAGUUGGUAAGGUAACGGCUUACCAAGGCAACGAUGCAUAGCCGACCUGAGAGGGUGAUCGGCCACACUGGAACUGAGACACGGUCCAGACUCCUACGGGAGGCAGCAGUAGGGAAUCUUCCGCAAUGGGCGAAAGCCUGACGGAGCAACGCCGCGUGAGUGAUGAAGGUCUUCGGAUCGUAAAACUCUUUUAUUAGGGAAGAAAAUAAGUGUAAGUAACUGUGCACAUCUUGACGGUACCUAAUCAGAAAGCCACGGCUAACUUCGUG
rnacentral:rRNA from 1 species